rnacentral:rRNA from 1 species
AUUGAACGCUGGCGGCAUGCCUUACACAUGCAAGUCGAACGGCAGCACGGGAGCAAUCCUGGUGGCGAGUGGCGAACGGGUGAGUAAAGUAUCGGAACGUGCCCAGUCGUGGGGGAUAACGUAGCGAAAGUUACGCUAAUACCGCAUACGAUCUAUGGAUGAAAGCGGGGGAUCGCAAGACCUCGCGCGAUUGGAGCGGCCGAUAUCAGAUUAGGUAGUUGGUGGGGUAAAGGCCCACCAAGCCGACGAUCUGUAGCUGGUCUGAGAGGACGACCAGCCAGACUGGGACUGAGACACGGCCCAGACUCCUGCGGGAGGCAGCAGUGAGGAAUUUUGGACAAUGGGCGGAAGCCUGAUCCAGCCAUGCCGCGUGCAGGAUGAAGGCCUUCGGGUUGUAAACUGCUUUUGUACGGAACGAAAAGGACUGCCCUAAUACGGUGGUCCCAUGACGGUACCGUAAGAAUAAGCACCGGCUAACUACGUGCCAGCCGCCGCAGUAA